rnacentral:rRNA from 1 species
CAGUCGCCGCGGGAAUACGGAGGGUGCAAGCGUUAAUCGGAAUUACUGGGCGUAAAGCGCACGCAGGCGGUCUGUCAAGUCAGAUGUGAAAUCCCCGGGCUUAACCUGGGAACUGCAUUUGAAACUGGCAGGCUAGAGUCUUGUAGAGGGGGGUAGAAUUCCAGGUGUAGCGGUGAAAUGCGUAGAGAUCUGGAGGAAUACCGGUGGCGAAGGCGGCCCCCUGGACAAAGACUGACGCUCAGGUGCGAAAGCGUGGGGAGCAAACAGGAUUAGAUACCCGGGUAGUCCCUGUCUCUUAGAC